UACGAAGGGUGCAAACGUUGCUCGGAAUUACUGGGCGUAAAGCGCGUGUAGGCGGCCAUGCAAGUCGGAUGUGAAAGCCCUCGGCUCAACCGGGGAAGUGCACUCGAAACUGCAAGGCUAGAGUCUCGGAGAGGAUCGUGGAAUUCUCGGUGUAGAGGUGAAAUUCGUAGAUAUCGAGAGGAACACCGGUGGCGAAGGCGGCGAUCUGGACGAUGACUGACGCUGAGACGCGAAGCGUGGGAGCAACAGG
rnacentral:rRNA from 1 species